rnacentral:rRNA from 1 species
GACGAACGCUGGCGGCGUGCUUAACACAUGCAAGUCGCACGGGGCUGGGGGCAACUCCAGCUCAGUGGCGGACGGGUGCGUAACACGUAAGCAACAUGUCCAAGGGUGGGGGAUAGCCGGCCCAACGGCCGGGUAAUACCGCAUGCAGUCACCGGCGGCAUCACAGGUGACGAAAGCCGGGGCAACCUGGCGCCCAUGGAGUGGCUUGCGGCCUAUCAGCUAGNGGUGGGGUAAUGGCCCACCAAGGCUACGACGGGUAGCUGGUCUGAGAGGAUGACCAGCCACAUUGGGACUGAGACAC